CGAUGUAGCAAUACAUUGGUGGCGACCGGCGCACGGGUGAGUAACGCGUAUGCAACCUGCCUAUCAGAGGGGGAUAACCCGGCGAAAGUCGGACUAAUACCGCAUAAAACAGGGGUCCCGCAUGGGAAUAUUUGUUAAAGAUUAAUUGCUGAUAGAUGGGCAUGCGUUCCAUUAGAUAGUUGGUGAGGUAACGGCUCACCAAGUCUACGAUGGAUAGGGGUUCUGAGAGGAAGGUCCCCCACACUGGUACUGAGACACGGACCAGACUCCUACGGGAGGCAGCAGUGAGGAAUAUUGGUCAAUGGGCGAGAGCCUGAACCAGCCAAGUCGCCGUGAAGGAUGAAGGAUCUAUGGUUCGUAAACUUCUUUUAUAAGGGAAUAAAGUGCGGGACGUGUCCUG
rnacentral:rRNA from 1 species